GAUUUGUUUCCGCUGCGCCCCGACGCCCCGACGGGAACUCCUGGCUUGUUUCUUUGCUGUUGCUGUUGAGGUGUAUGAGUUUUCUUUAUGUGUGCUUUGGAGAGGAACCUCACGGGCAGGGGUCCCGUCUCCUCAGUGUUUCUGUAGAGCUGCUGUCCACAGCGUGGCAGCCGCUGUCCAGAGGGAGCCAUUUAUGCUUCAUUGAAUUCAGCCAGUAGUUAGGUCUGCCUCUGGCAGUGAACAGAAGAAAGCAGCCAAGGGUUCACUCCCCCGAGCCAGCACGCAAGGGUGUCCGUGCAGCUGGACUUUCAGGUGUGUCACGCUGGGGCUGAGGCCUCCGGAGGGACUCCUAGAAGGGAGGCGUGCGUGUAAAGCGCCAUCCCUCAGCAGCCCACGAUCUCGGACGGUUUGCCACUGUGGCCAGUGUUUUAUUGAUGCUUCUGAGGCCAUAGAGCACGCACGGGGAAGUUCUGAGCACACGGAGGACAAGCCAGGGCGGUGCUGUGUGGCCGCAGUCAACCCUAAGUAGGGGUCGAGUGGGGGACGGUCGCUAACACCUCGAUUCCUCAUGUCUGUGUUUCUGCAGCUUGGAGCUUGGAGAGUGUGUGUGAGAGCGACCUCGCUGACAGCAACCUCGCAGAAAGUGAUCGAGACUCGGUGGCGGAGCGCACCGACUGCCGCCAGGAUGAGGAGGCUGCAGGUAGGGAAGAGCACGCAGCUGGGAUCCAGGGGGAGAGGGUUCCUGGGAGCAGCUGGGUUCCACCUGCUGCCGGGAGAGGGCGGAAGGGGGCUAGGACUUGGGUGGGUGGCCUACUGAGCGGAACUCCGCUGUGGUGUUUUCCCCUCUGAAGUUGCUAAGCCGAAGACGACUUGGGUCCCUGGUCUCAGAGCUAAAAGAAGAGCUGUUGGCUGAAGCAAAAGGAAACUCCAAUAAGGUGUGAAGUACAGUGAUAGAGCCCCAGGCCCCGAGAUCAACAGAGACCGGACGUACGGAGUUCCCUCUGCCUCCCACAGCAGAACCUUGGUCUGCACUGGCCUGGGGCACCUGCCGGUGUGAGGUACCUGCUCCUCUCAGUGCCCUGAAAUGAAUGCCAGUUGCAAAGUCGGCCGGGG
rnacentral:lncRNA from 1 species